GUUGGGUAGGGGGAAGAGAGACAUAUUGCCCCCCCAGGAUGUCUCCCACCAUUUUCUUAUUUUUUCUAAAUCAUCACAACAUCUGAUAUCAAGUGAACAAGGUCAAGCUGAGGAAAGAAGAGGUAUCUAAAUAUGAGUGACAUACAUAAGCCGUCCGUAAAGAAUGAAGUUCCUGAGAGUCAGUGAAUAUAUGGCAGAAGAUCAAUGAAACACAGAUGAAAGAUACAGAAUGGUGCUGUUUGUCCCUGAUAUGGAACAUCAGAAGAAUUCAAAUUAGAUGAAUGCUCUCUAAAGACCUCUAUGUAUGGAUACACAGACAGACAAACACACACACACACACACACACACACACAUUGGUCUCAUCUGCCUACCAUAAAAAUGACUGCAGCCCAAAAUACCAAUAUGAAAAGGAAGGUUUGCAGCAAGACCAGCCACCUAGCGGCCCUGAGGCAUGGCUGGGGAGGCAGGAGUUAUUGAGGCUCUCAGGUCAUGAUAGGAAAGGAUGUUAAUAAAACCUUUUCCUGUUUACUUGUAAGUACUGUAUGCUUUUGAGCUGUGCUAUCCAAACUCCAGACACAGGUGCAGUUGUUUCAGGACAAGUGCAGUUGCAUCUCUUCCAGACAACACUUCUCUGUUUUAGAGGAUAUUUCUUUCUUUUUAAAGGCUCAAAAAGUACCCAUGAAUUUGAAUGUGAUGUUUACAAGUCACUGCUUACAAAGUAAUAUGAA